rnacentral:rRNA from 1 species
UACGGGGGGGGCAAGCGUUGUUCGGAAUUACUGGGCGUAAAGGGCUCGUAGGUGGCCAACUAAGUCAGACGUGAAAUCCCUCGGCUUAACCUGGGAACUGCAUCUGAUACUGGAUGGCUUGAGAUUGGGAGAGGGAUGCGGAAUUCCAGGUGUAGCGGUGAAAUGCGUAGAUAUCUGGAGGAACACCGGUGGCGAAGGCGGCAUCCUGGACCAACACUGACGCUGAGGAGCGAAAGCCAGGGGAGCAAACGGG